CAGGAAAAAAAAGGAUAGAUAUAUUCAAACUAUAGAAAGGAAAACUCUCAAGGUACAAAGCACAUAUACAAGUAAUAUUAAAAAAAAAGAAGAAGCUAACAUUUGUUUCCUAGAUUCCUAGCUAACCGGGAUUUUAAUACAACAAAAUAACUUUCACUGCACAAAGCAUUGAGAGAAGUACUCCAUGGAUAAUCUUUCGAAUGAGCUUGUGAACAGUCAUGUGAUUAUUACUGAAUGUAGUGGAUGAUGAAUGCUGGGGUGACAAGCUACUGGAUACGUGUUACCUAAGGCCCUGAUAUAGGCCUAGAUAAACUCAUCUCAUCUCUGCCAAACUUCUAAUCAACUGUUUCUUUGCUUUGUUCUGUUGCUCAGCUUCCAUGGACCAUGAAUAAAGAAGCCAGAGCAAAAAAUGGAAAAAGUAUGAUGGGAAAUGUAAACAAUAGUAGAACUUUACACCUCGUUUUGAUCACUAAUUCCCUAAAAUGUACAGAUGAAGCACCAACAUAGGUAAAAGCUCCCUUCCUUCAAAUGAUAGUUACUUGUUAAUUAGACCAUGUACUUUACUGCACAAAGCUCCUUUAGUUAACCCUGUUGUAAGUAAAACAAAAUGCUGCAAGUAAAUUAGCACACAUCUCAAUCCCAUGAGGGAGCAGUGGCAGACAAGUAGCUGCUGAAAACCCAGGAUUUGAAAGAAGAAAGCAUUUGAUAGAUGGAACAAUUAAGGGGGGUGUUGUUUUAACUAAAAUUUCAACACUCAACAGUGACAUCUUGAUUAUCAAAUUUAGGGUUUCAGAUAAGAUGUCAUGACGAAACCAGGCCAUGUGGGUAUUGUUUAAUCAGACCCAUGUCUGUGCCCACACUUCCAUUGGCAAACCUAUUGCUUACAAAAGCUGUCAUUUUCCUAUGCUAACUCUUCAAGACAUGUAUUUACAGUGAAAGCUCCAUUAUUCAUUUCAAUGAAACUAAAAUAGAAUAAACAAUAUAGCUGGCAUAUUCAAAAUUAUUACUGCAUCAUAAUAAAUUCAAGGCUUAAUACAUUUCAUUCACCAUGCAAAACAGAUAAGAGAUAAUACAGAUCUAAUCAGCUUAUACAAGAGUGAAGGAUGUUUAUCAUGUUAGAAUUGACUUGGUAACCCCUCAUGCCAAGGAACUCUAUUUCAUGGGACUUUGAAACUGUUAAAGAAAGGGCAAGUCUUUAUUUUUCCCUCAUCUUCGGUUCUUUACCAAGGUCAAGCAUCGUUUAAAAAAAGGAUUGAUUUUGAGGGAAGAGCCUAGGUCUUGAAACCCUAGAGAGAUGGUAAAAGAAGAGAGAAUGUUUACCAAAAGUUCAAAGCCGGAUCUGAAAACAGCAGAAACAGACAGAUCAGAGAACAGGAAGCCGUCAUGGGAAAGAUCUGCCUAAUGAUAAAUCAGAAAUAUAAGUGUUUGGACUGACAAAAACAUCAUAGCAUCAAAGAAAAAGAAAAAACAAAAAAAGAGUAAUGAUGAAACUUUUUACACAGAUGAUGAACAAAAAUUGGUCAAAACUCUUCAUCAUUACACCAAUCUGCACAUAACUAACAGUGUUAAUUGCUCUAGAAACAAGAUACCAAAUGAUUUAGAACAGCCAAAUUUUCCCAAAAGAGGAAACAAGAAAACGAAAAAAGGACCCAAAAUAAUCAUUGAAACAGAAGACCCAAACCUUUCCAUGCUGCAGCCCCGUGAUCUAGAAUCUAGACUUGGUUAGGCAGUCGGCAGUCCCAUAUAGGAGCAAGCAUUAGGGGGAAUGAAGCCUGGUCCGACGACCUUGUACAGCCUCAAUCCAUUACAGCAAUAACCAGAUCCAUAAAUGAAUUGUAAUGCAAGAAAUGGAUUAAAAACAAGUCUCCUCGAGCCAGACAACAUUCCCCUCAAAUUGGUUACUCCGCUCAGGACAUCUCAAUUAAAACUAUCUUGAAAGAGGCUUUUUUUCUCAUGAAUUAUGUAUGUGUAUCCCUGAUUCUCUUAUCUCUUUACCCCCCAAGAGUCUCGCCUGUGUUCAAGGGGGACUGAGAGAGAGAGAGAGAGAGAGAGAGAGAGAGAAAGGGGAGGGGGGGGUUAGGUGAUGAUCAUGAGAUGAUGAAGAGAAGGAUAUGGGUGAAGAGGGGUUUUUAAGAGGAGUAAAAAGAGGGGAAAGCCAACGUUAAAAAAGACAAAACAUAGCUGCAGACUCGACCCUACCAGCUGUUCUCUCAGUUCCAGAAAUAACCACGACCCCAUGCACUCUCAUCUCUCUCUAACCUGCUACUUCUCUCUCUACUUUGGGUGUUAUACGUAUGUAUCCAGAAAACAAAAAUAAAAAUCCUUUAUCGACCGUUUGAUUCUCUUGAUAAUAAGAUGUUAAAAACUCCUCGUACAAGCAAAGUUGACUGAGAAAUGGAGCAAAACACACCAUUUGAUGAUGGUUGAUGCUGUCAUCAAACAUAUAAAAAAAAAAAACCUACCGAGAUGAUACUGUCUUUUCGUUUAUGUAGCCUAGAAAUCCAGACCCCUUAAGAACCGUAGGAUUUAUGAGAUAUUUUAUUUUUGUAGAAUGAUGUUAAAUAAAGAGUGUACUGGCAUAAAAUAUAAUGAUGCAUAAAUAAUUGAAUAGAAAAGGAAUCAAAGUAAAGGAUGGCCUAAAAGUGAGUCAGAGGAGUGGUUGAGUUAUUG
rnacentral:lncRNA from 1 species